UACGUAGGGGGCAAGCGUUGUCCGGAUUUAUUGGGCGUAAAGCGCGCGCAGGCGGUUUCUUAAGUCUGAUGUGAAAGCCCACGGCUCAACCGUGGAGGGUCAUUGGAAACUGGGAGACUUGAGUGCAGAAGAGAAGAGUGGAAUUCCACGUGUAGCGGUGAAAUGCGUAGAGAUGUGGAGGAACACCAGUGGCGAAGGCGACUCUUUGGUCUGUAACUGACGCUGAGGCGCGAAAGCGUGGGGAGCAAACAGG
rnacentral:rRNA from 1 species